rnacentral:rRNA from 1 species
CCCGCCGGCGACCGGCGCACGGGUGAGUAACACGUAUGCAACCUGGCCGCCACAGGGGGAUAACCCGCGGAAACGCGGCCUAAUACCCCGUGACGCCACCGGAGGGCAUCCUCCGGUGGCCAAAGGAGCGAUCCGGUGGCGGAUGGGCAUGCGGCGCAUUAGCUAGACGGCGGGGUGACGGCCCACCGUGGCGACGAUGCGUAGGGGUUCUGAGAGGAAGGCCCCCCACACUGGGACUGAGACACGGACCAGACUCCUACGGAAGGCAGCAG